rnacentral:rRNA from 1 species
UGGGGAAUAUUGGACAAUGGGCGCAAGCCUGAUCCAGCCAUACCGCGUGGGUGAAGAAGGCCUUCGGGUUGUAAAGCCCUUUUGUUGGGAAAGAAAUCCAGCCGGCUAAUACCUGGUUGGGAUGACGGUACCCAAAGAAUAAGCACCGGCUAACUUCGUGCCAGCAGCCGCGGUAAUACGAAGGGUGCAAGCGUUACUCGGAAUUACUGGGCGUAAAGCGUGCGUAGGUGGUCGUUUAAGUCCGUUGUGAAAGCCCUGGGCUCAACCUGGGAACUGCAGUGGAUACUGGGCGACUAGAGUGUGGUAGAGGGUAGCGGAAUUCCUGGUGUAGCAGUGAAAUGCGUAGAGAUCAGGAGGAACAUCCAUGGCGAAGGCAGCUA